rnacentral:rRNA from 1 species
UAAUGUAUGGGGAUCUGCCCGAUAGAGGGGAAUAACUACUGGAAACGGUGGCUAAUACCGCAUAAUGUCACGGACCAAAGCAGGGGCUCUUCGGACCUUGCACUAUCGGAUGAACCCAUAUGGGAUUAGCUAGUAGGUGGGGUAAAGGCUCACCAGGCGACGAUCUCUAGCUGGUCUGAGAGGAUGAUCAGCCACACUGGGACUGAGACACGGCCCAG